GACGAACGCUGGCGACGUGCUUAACACAUGCAAGUCGAACGGAAAGGCCCUGCUUUUGUGGGGUGCUCGAGUGGCGAACGGGUGAGUAACACGUGAGUAACCUGCCCUUGACUUUGGGAUAACUUCAGGAAACUGGGGCUAAUACCGGAUAGGAGCUCCUGCUGCAUGGUGGGGGUUGGAAAGUUUCGGCGGUUGGGGAUGGACUCGCGGCUUAUCAGCUUGUUGGUGGGGUAGUGGCUUACCAAGGCUUUGACGGGUAGCCGGCCUGAGAGGGUGACCGGCCACAUUGGGACUGAGAUACGGCCCAGACUCCUACGGGAGGCAGCAGUGGGGAAUAUUGCACAAUGGGCGGAAGCCUGAUGCAGCAACGCCGCGUGCGGGAUGACGGCCUUCGGGUUGUAAACCGCUUCCGCCUGUGACGAAGCGUGAGUGACGGUAAUGGGUAAAGAAGCACCGGCUAACUACGUG
rnacentral:rRNA from 1 species